rnacentral:rRNA from 1 species
GAUCAUGCUCAGGAUGAACGCUAGCGGCAGGCUUAACACAUGCAAGUCGAGGGGCAGCGGGAUGUAGCAAUACAUUGCCGGCGACCGGCGGAUGGGUGCGUAACGCGUAUGCAACCUACCUUAUACAGGGGAAUAACCUUUCGAAAGGGAGACUAACACCCCAUAGUAUUGAUUUAAGGCAUCUUAGAUUAAUUAAAUAUUUAUAGGUAUAAGAUGGGCAUGCGUAUGAUUAGCUAGUUGGUAAGGUAACGGCUUACCAAGGCGACGAUCAUUAGGGGUUCUGAGAGGAAGGUCCCCCACACUGGUACUGAGACACGGACCAGACUCCUACGGGAGGCAGCAGUGAGGAAUAUUGGUCAAUGGGCGCAAGCCUGAACCAGCCAUGCCGCGUGCAAGGAAGACGGCCUUAUGGGUUGUAAACUGCUUUUACAUAAGACUAACCGUAUAUUUGCGAAUAUACCUGAAUGUAUUAUGAGAAUAAGGAUCGGCUAACUCCGUGCCAGCCGCCGC